CACGUAGGGCGCAAGCGUUGUCCGGAAUUAUUGGGCGUAAAGAGCUCGUAGGCGGUCUGUCGCGUCUGCUGUGAAAUCCCGGGGCUCAACCUCGGGCUUGCAGUGGAUACGGGCAGACUAGAGUUCGGUAGGGGAGACUGGAAUUCCUGGUGUAGCGGUGAAAUGCGCAGAUAUCAGGAGGAACACCGGUGGCGAAGGCGGGUCUCUGGGCCGAUACUGACGCUGAGGAGCGAAAGCGUGGGGAGCGAACAGG
rnacentral:rRNA from 1 species